rnacentral:rRNA from 1 species
GACGAACCGUGCGAACGUUAUUCGGAAUCACUGGGCUUAAAGCGCGUGUAGGUGGCUUGGCACGUCUGUCGCUGAAAUCCCACGGCUCAACCGUGGAACUGGCGUGGAUACGACCAGGCUUGGAGGGGAUGUAGGGGGGAUCGGGAACUUCCGGUGGAGCGGUGAAAUGCGUUGAGAUCGGAAGGAACGCCCGUGGCGAAAGCGCGGUCCUGGACAUUUCCUGACACUGAGACGCGAAAGCUAGGGGAGCGAAACGGG